CCAUGAAAAUGUGUCUACUGCAGCAUGAAUGACAUUUUAAAAAUAGUGAAUAAAAACAUUGAAAUAAUUUGUAAUGCAUUUCAUUACUAUUGUUUUAAUGUGAAUCCAUUUAUUGAUUUUGAAUCGCAUCGCCUGCAUAUGAUUCCAAAUCUGCCAGCUGAGAAACACAUUCUCAUUCCGCUAAGGAUCUGUCUACCAGCAGGAAAACUACUUUUUUUCAUUUGAUCCUCUUUGUGUUUCGUAGGUAUGGGUGUCAUGGCAACAAAAUCAAUGAUCGCCCAUAACUAAAUGGAGAGCGAUUUGAGAUCAGCAUGGUGUUGGUGAACUGUUAAACAAGGGUUAGUGUUUGAAGUCUUCAACUUCAUUCCCAGACUCAUGUUUUGAGGAUUAUUCUGGGCUACCUGGCUCAGACAGGGAGAGUCCACUACU